AGCAUGUCCACUUUUUCCCAUCAGUCUAGCAGAGGACCAUACUUCUCCACAGAAACCUUCUCUCACUUAUGGGAGAUCAUCACAGCAACAUGAUUACUGCUUGUGGUAGCACCACAACAAUUCAAGAUCUUCUUCUGGUCUGAAACCACAGACAAGAUGGAGACACACAAGCUCUUUUUCAGAGUGAUUGCUGUUAAAGAGGUUUCUGCUCUGCUUCUCACCACAGUCCCCAUCUUACCUAACCAGAUCACUCUGUGGCAAAGCUUUUCCUUCAGCUCUGUUGAUAAAUAUUACAGCACCACAUGGUAGAGGACAUAAUUUUUAAAUGUCCAGACUCAUAUCGUACUUAUCUGUGAAAUGACAAUGCUGUUGAGAUCUGGUCCUGUCAGCAAAGUCAGUGCCUGUACCUCCAAAAGGUAAGACAGUCUGGGGAAGAGAACAAAGCCUGAUAAAUCUGAAUUUGACAAACACUGACUCUUGGAACGUCGUGAAGAUGUUUAGAUAGGCUUUGCAGGCUCUAAGAAGUAAGCUCAUGGCUGUGGUGUCUAGCACUUGUCAUACAUUAUUAUUGUAUAAAGUAUUGGAUUGGGGAAUAACUAUAUGUUUCCUUUGAGAUACUAUGAAUUAUACUGGUCAGGCUGAAGGUCAGCAUGCUGUUCUUUUGAUCAAUGAAUCAUCUGACCAGGUGAAGAUAUCCUAUUUCUUGUACUAUAAAUGUGUACAGACUUUCCCUCACAUGGACUUGCAGAAGGUAAGCUCAGAUUGGCCCUGGAUAAAGGAAGAAGAAAAACAAAGAUCUUCAGCUUCCCUCAGCACCGAAGUACAAGUGUUACUGGGAAGAUCCAUCAGCAGUCAGCAUCACCUCUGUGCAGCCCUUUCAGGGCUGUAUCCAUUACAAGAAAAACCCCAGGGGUCAGAUCCAGCCUCCUCUAUGCUCCCCAGCAAGGUUUGGAAAGGAGACCUGGGGUAUGGUGAACCUGGAACUCUGCAAGACAUCAGAGGACUUUAAAGCAUACAUCCAGCAUUUCCAGAUGGGAAGGUCUAAUGCCUGGUUUCUGAGAUAUCUUACAGAUAUCAUCCAAGUCGUCAGAGAUCAUACUGCACACUGCAAAAGCAAUGCCCAAUAGAGCAUGACUGGCAGGUUGUAUUCAAAAGAAAAUUUAAUAUGAGUUCAACGGUGGAGAUGAGAAUCUAUGACAUCAAUGUGUGUGGAGCUUAUACAAUGCCUGCACCACUCCUGGCUCCUGUCUGCCCCUGACCAUGAUAUUAAUUAUGUCUGUUCAUGUAAAACAUUGUGUUUGGUUUACAAAGGGUAAUGAAUUCUCGUUAAACCUCAGCCUAGUGCUCCUUCCCCUCCCUCUUGCUAGAACAGGCUGCAGACCUGAAGCACCAGAAAUGCACUGGUCACUCCGAUACCAAGAUGAAAAAUAAUUUUCCAAAACAGGAGGAGGAUGGUGGAAACACAAGCACAACCUAUCAGCUACAACACAGCAAAGAUGACAACGUAAGUGACAUGGCUCCAGAGGACAGAGACAUCAUGAGGCAGCUGCCCUGAAAUCUCUGCUUCAAAGUGGGCUGAGAGGAGCUGAUCGGGAAAAGGAAAAUGCCUUGUGACUUGGCAGUUGCACUUCAUAACUUCAUGUAUGCUCCAGAGUGCCUGCUCGUUUGCCAAAAAUCCAUCUAAGAAAAAAGACCAUGCUGGCUAUUUUCCAUUCACGAUGAUCUGUCCUCUGACGGGUAUCUGUUGUGGGGAGAGGGAUGGCUGAUGGGCUGUGAGGGCCAUGUAAGGAGCGAAUUGUGCAAACAGUACAUGUGGGAAAGGACAAAGGGAAACUGUGCUGUGAGCUUGGGGACGCACUGGUCACUGCCCAUCCUGCAUUAAAAGCAGCAGAGGCUGUGUUCAUACAGAAGUGAAUCAUUUGCAUAAUCUCAUGUUAAAUUAAGCAUGAACAUAACUUCAAGCACUGUAAGUGUAAUGUCUAUACUUGUAACGAGUGGGGUUGUAAUGAGUUUAGGAGACAGGAAUAAUUUUUCAGGUGAAUUUAUUAUUUUACCUGUCAUAUUUCCUCUGUUUGAACAUUUUGCCACGCAAAGCAUCUGAGGGUGUCUGGUGCUGCUCUUUGAUGACGUGUGGGUUACUGCAUUAUUUUAAAGACCAGAGACAUUAAAAGGAAAAUGUCUGCAUUAUGCAGAAGAACAUGAUAGCUCUUUGGGGGAAAUACCUGUAGAAUCUGGAAUCCUUUUGCCUUGUCACACGGUGAUCUUUGCUCCAGUUAAGAAGCAACUGACUAGACAUGUAAUCAUAUCAUUUUAAAUUUCCUUUUUGUUUGUUUUUGUGUUUUUUUUUCCUUUUCAUUAAAAAUCUUCUAUAAAAACUUGUUGGCACAUCUUUUUAGUCUGUAGCGCAUACCAUUGCUAAUGAGGACAACUGUGGUAGGCUGUAAAUAGAGAAUCCCAUUUAGAACAUAAAUGCUAACAGACUGGCUCUUCCUCCCUCAAAACCACAGAGCAGGACUGGACCCCAAAAACUCUGCCACUUCCAUUGAUUCAUCUCCAAGUGGCUUUGCAUGGAUAGCAAUAAACAUGACAGCAGUGGAUGAGGAAGAAAGUAU
rnacentral:lncRNA from 1 species